rnacentral:rRNA from 1 species
UACGGGGGGGGCAAGCGUUGUUCGGAAUUACUGGGCGUAAAGGGCUCGUAGGCGGCCAACUAAGUCAGACGUGAAAUCCCUCGGCUUAACCGGGGAACUGCGUCUGAUACUGGUUGGCUUGAAUCCGGGAGAGGGAUGUGGAAUUCCAGGUGUAGCGGUGAAAUGCGUAGAUAUCCGGAGGAACACCAGUGGCGAAAGCGGCCACCUGGACUGUACCUGACGCUCAAACGCGAAAGCUAGGGGAGCGAACGGA